GGUAUCCUGUCUGAAUAUGGGGGGACCAUCCUCCAAGGCUAAAUACUCCUGACUGACCGAUAGUGAACCAGUACCGUGAGGGAAAGGCGAAAAGAACCCCGGCGAGGGGAGUGAAAAAGAACCUGAAACCGUGUACGUACAAGCAGUGGGAGCACGCUUAGGCGUGUGACUGCGUACCUUUUGUAUAAUGGGUCAGCGACUUAUAUUCUGUAGCAAGGUUAACCGAAUAGGGGAGCCGAAGGGAAACCGAGUCUUAACUGGGCGUUAAGUUGCAGGGUAUAGACCCGAAACCCGGUGAUCUAGCCAUGGGCAGGUUGAAGGUUGGGUAACACUAACUGGAGGACCGAACCGACUAAUGUUGAAAAAUUAGCGGAUGACUUGUGGCUGGGGGUGAAAGGCCAAUCAAACCGGGAGAUAGCUGGUUCUCCCCGAAAGCUAUUUAGGUAGCGCCUCGUGAAUUCAUCUCCGGGGGUAGAGCACUGUUUCGGCAAGGGGGUCAUCCCGACUUACCAACCCGAUGCAAACUGCGAAUACCGGAGAAUGUUAUCACGGGAGACACACGGCGGGUGCUAACGUCCGUCGUGAAGAGGGAAACAACCCAGACCGCCAGCUAAGGUCCCAAAGUCAUGGUUAAGUGGGAAACGAUGUGGGAAGGCCCAGACAGCCAGGAUGUUGGCUUAGAAGCAGCCAUCAUUUAAAGAAAGCGUAAUAGCUCACUGGUCGAGUCGGCCUGCGCGGAAGAUGUAACGGGGCUAAACCAUGCACCGAAGCUGCGGCAGCGACGCUGAUGCGUUGUUGGGUAGGGGAGCGUUCUGUAAGCCUGCGAAGGUGUGCUGUGAGGCAUGCUGGAGGUAUCAGAAGUGCGAAUGCUGACAUAAGUAACGAUAAAGCGGGUGAAAAGCCCGCUCGCCGGAAGACCAAGGGUUCCUGUCCAACGUUAAUCGGGGCAGGGUGAGUCGACCCCUAAGGCGAGGCCGAAAGGCGUAGUCGAUGGGAAACAGGUUAAUAUUCCUGUACUUGGUGUUACUGCGAAGGGGGGACGGAGAAGGCUAUGUUGGCCGGGCGACGGUUGUCCCGGUUUAAGCGUGUAGGCUGGUUUUCCAGGCAAAUCCGGAAAAUCAAGGCUGAGGCGUGAUGACGAGGCACUACGGUGCUGAAGCAACAAAUGCCCUGCUUCCAGGAAAAGCCUCUAAGCAUCAGGUAACAUCAAAUCGUACCCCAAACCGACACAGGUGGUCAGGUAGAGAAUACCAAGGCGCUUGAGAGAACUCG
rnacentral:rRNA from 1 species